UCGGGCGGCAGAGGCAAGUGGUUCUUUGUGAGUUCAAGGCCUGCCUGGUCUACAGAGCAAGUUCCAGAACACCUAGGACUGUUACACAGAGAAACCCUGUCUUGAAAACAAACAAACUAAACCAUGUAAAUAAAUUUUAAAAGGCUACUCAAUCCAGGUUUUUUGGACAGAAUCCUAUGGUGUAUUGAUCACUGUGGCUUCGCUUUGGCCAGGAGCCGUGAACCAAGAGUUCUUUAUAAAUGAGUCCUGAAUCCAGGACAAAGCAAACUGCCAGCACUUUGAGCUCAUAGCUAUUCUCUGAAGAGGGGGCCUAGUGUGUGUGUGUGUGUGUGUGUGUGUGUGUGUAUCUUUAAAAAAUAUUUAUUUUUUAUUUUUUACCUAUCUAGUGUUUUGCCCAUAUGCAUUUAUAUGCACACAUGUGUGCCUGGUGCCAGGGUCCAGAAGAGGGUGUCAGAGCCAUGGGAACUGGAAUUAUUGACGGUUGUAAGCCACCAUGUGGGUUAUUAUAAAGUUAUUAAAAUAUUAUUGUGACUAAAAGCCUGGCCUGAAUUGAGUGUAAUCCCUCAUUGGCAACUUGGUAAAGCCUAAUUUUCAGCAGGAACAAGCUUGACAUGAAGGCAGUAAGGGCACAAAUAGAUUAGACUUAAACGCCCCAUAAAAUGACUCGAGGCUUACAGCUGGGCCCUGCCGUUCUUCUGAAGAAUUAUGACUGAUUAGCAGUUCUAAGAAACUCUGAAAGAAAAGUGAGUCAUUCCAUGAAGGCAUUUGUCUGAAGGAAGUGAGCUGGAAUGCAAUGGUGGCAGUGAGUUAUUAUAAAGCAGCUAAUUCCAUGAAGAGUCAUUUGGUAUUUAUAACGGCGUCAUUGUCGAUUGAAUUAGUAAAGAAUAGAAGUGACUCAAUGGUCUGUGAUGAGCAGAGAAUGACAAAGGGGAGACAGUAACGGAGGAUUUGGUGGUGAAGAGAGAAGAAAAGCAGGAGAAAAGAAAAAGCCAUAAUUGCAUUUGUUUAUAAAUUCACUCACUGCCAGCCGUGGAGGCUGUGAUUCCAGCCCACUGCAGGCUGAAGCAGGAGGAUAACUAUGACCUCAAAGUCAUCCUGAGCUACAUAGUGAUUCCAGGCAAAUUGUCCAAUGGCACCAAGUCAGAGUACAGGGGAGGUCAAGCCUCAUCAACGCCUUGUUCAAGCCACUGCUGAUCAUCCGGGAGAGGAAAAGCUAUGGAUACCAUCAAGGAGUGACAAAGAUUAGACGUCAACAGGAGAGACCUUUUGGUUAUAAGACUAGCAAAUGCCUCUCAUUUGAUCAGGAAGAUAGAAGCAUAGAACUAAGGAAUAUAAAGGCCACUGGACAAAGGAGACAGCUGAAGAAGGAUGAAUCAUUAAGAGAAAAUUUUCCAAGAAGAAGAGUAAGUUGGCCUAAUGUCAUAGCACACCUCUAAUAGAGUAGAAUUUCAUAAAUCUACCCAAAUGCUUGUUUUUGCUGCUCUCUACAAACAUAAAAGGCAAAUUGUCUUAUUGUGGUCCCAAUUCAACUAAAAUUCAAAGCUAGCUCUGGAGUUGGAGCAUGGCUCUCUCCUUCUCUAAACCUACACAUGCUUGUUAAAGGAAAAUCCAAAAUCUCUGUAUUAUGUCAGAUGAGCCACCUGGUAUGGAAGAGAAGAAAACCAAAAUUAAGGGACUAUUCUAUUGCCAAUAACCCCAUAAUCCUUUAGUUUUAUUUUGACGCUUUAAAACUUUUCUUAAAAUAUAAAUAUUAUCUCAAAAUCUAUAAGAUUUUUUAUAUAUACUAUCUGCUGGAAUAUUAGUAGUCAUACAGAGUAUUAACUAAUUUUGGAAAUAAACUUCAUCUCACUUCCUGUA